UAACGGUCAUAUUUAUUUGAAAAUAAAAAAGCACCUUUCCUUUGUAACGGAUAUAUUCUUCAUUCAAAGAAACUCCCCAAUUUCAUUCACCAACCAACAGAACAGAAGCUGUUUUAUAACAUCUCGAUUAAGAAAAAGAAAGAGAUGAUCCACUCUGCGUAUGCCAGUUCGAUUUUGAAGAAGCUAGACUUCAUCAAUGGAUUCUGCUGUGAGUUAAGUUUUCUUCUUUCUUUUUCCAAAUCAUCUAGGUUAAGCUUUUCCCCUUUCCAUAAGUGUAAUAUUAUGAAACAAAUCAUCAAGUUUGGCUAUUAUAGGAUGUCUGAGUCUCUGAUUAGUGUUACAUUCUCAGGUACUAAUUAAUAUACAUCUUUUUUGGCUACUUGAACGUCUAACCAAAACUUACUCAAUAGGCACUAGAUUUGGAGGUAGUUUAGUAUGAUAGAUCAUUAAAUUUGGAACUUAUGUACCCUUUUCCAACUUUAGAAAAUGUGCUUUUGUUAUUGUUUUUCUUAAAUCAAAUUAGUAAUAGGCUCAAUAAACCUAAUGUCAAGUGGGCUAAAUUCUAAACCAUAAAAAAUAUUUGUAAAUGGGCCUAUAUCGGAUUUUAAAAACAACACGUGCCCUCAAAAUCCCGGGCCCUGUGCGGAGGUCCUCCCCGCACACCAUCAUAGCCGCCACUACUCAUAGGUCAACGCCACUGAACCUUAUAAUCACCAUGACCCUCCACAUUAGCGUCACGUCACCCACCUCUAAUCCACCAUCCAAAACCACUACCCUAAGGGUGUCGGGAACUUCCCUUCAAUCAUUGAUGCCAAAUCAAAAUAUUGCAGAGUUCAAGGGAUAUCCAAAUACAUGUCUUAUUAUUUUCAAUCAUUCACACUUGUAGCAAUAAAAUACUAUAGUUCCUACCCCAAGUGAUAAAUGAUGAAUUCAAAAUAUCUAUGCUAUAUCUUCUCUAUAUCUAUAAAGGACCAUAAAUCCCUUAUUUCCUGCAGCUGCUUCACUCUAAGGCGGAACGCUCCCCUACCGAUGUAUUUUUACAUCCCACAACUUCGGUAGAUCGCUUAGCCCCGUUCAUCUUCGGCGCAAGAGUGCUCGAUCAGUGAGCUAUUACGCACUCUUUCAGGGGUGGCUGCUUCUAGGCAAACCUCCUGGUUGUCUCUGCUUCCCUGAACGGUCAUUUAGGGGCCUUAGCUGGUGAUCCGGGCUGUUUCCUGAUGUCUGUCGUUAGUGAUACUCAAAAACCGAAAUAAACUA